rnacentral:rRNA from 1 species
UACGUAGGGUGCGAGCAUUGUCCGGAAUUAUUGGGCGUAAAGAGCUCGUAGGCGGCCUGUCACGUCGGAUGUGAAAGCCCGGGGCUUAACCCCGGGUCUGCAUUCGAUACGGGCAGGCUGGAGUUCGGUAGGGGAGAUCGGAAUUCCUGGUGUAGCGGUGAAAUGCGCAGAUAUCAGGAGGAACACCGGUGGCGAAGGCGGGUCUCUGGGCAACAACUGACGCUGAGGAGCGAAAGCGUGGGGAGCAAACAGG